CGCAUGUUUUCUAGGUCCCACAGAAAUUAUUGCUGGUGCGGUGGUUGGAUCAGCUGCCGCACUAGCUGUUGCUGUUGGAAUAGUUGUUUUUUUCGUAUUGAAGUCAAGAAGGCGUCGUAGCAAGAAAUCGAACGGACAUAUGGAAAAUCAACGGAAGAAAGAGUAAUUAGUAAUAGACUCUUUUGGAGGAACCGACCAGAACAGGCCUUUGGUACUGGAGUAUCUUUAAAGAAGGUGGAGGAGGAACAGGG